AAAAACAUCAAGACACAGACUGAUUCGAGUGUCAUCGGCUUGAGCUAAAUCGAAAGCAACUUCAGAUUGCGGGAUGUGAUCGGGAGAUCAAACAAAAGACACGCGACCAAGUUGAAACAUCCCUUGCUGUAGAGAGACUAGUGGAAGAAACAUCCAAUGCUGCAAGACUGAGCCACAGCUUCCUGUAACUGCAAGCCGAUAUUGGUGGUGGAACAUUUAAUGCGAAAAACCCCACACACCCUCCUCCCUGCCUCCAAGCUCCUCCUACUCCAUCGUCAUGGCGAUGAGCAGUGAUCCUGGUUGCAUGGGGGUGGGCCCUGACCCAGACUCCUCCCAGACCACUGAGAUGACUGAUAAGAUGUCUGUGGUGUCGCUAAGGUCCGAUACCUCCUCCAGUGUAGUGAAGAAUGGGACAGGUGUUAAGAAAGCUCCGCCCAAGAGGCCACACCUGUCAGGCAGGAAGAUGUCAUUGCAAGAGAGAGGAACGUAUGUGUCUUCUGGGAGCGGGGCUGACCGCUAUUCCCGCAUAGCCAGACAGCCGACCAUCGAGUCCAAACAAGUGUCCAUCUCAGACU